GACGUGUCACAUGGGACUAUGCACACUGUUCGACAGCUGCUGAGCCGAUUCGUAUAUUCAAGAAGCUGUGUAGAUGCAGCUUUGCCUUGCAAAGGCCACCAAAUUUAAUGUCUAGUCAUCGGUCACAAGAAAAGCGAGCAUAAUAAAGAAACGUGGCGCGAAAAGUCUUCAACAGUGAUUCAGGCAGGAACAACACUUUACGUUGAAAUUGAGCAUUUACACCACGUGUUCACAAGCGUCAGUGCGUUCCGACAAGCUGCGCAGUGCUUUGAAGAAAAAGUGAGAGGCAGCAAUUAUUUUUUAAAUUUUUGUGUAACAAAUGUUCACGGACGAAUAUAUUGACGGAAUAUAGACCAGCUAUACAAAAACGAUGAAAGCGGUUCGUCACACGGAAAACAGCAACCGUCACAUACAGACAGUGACAGUUCAUGUGGCAGUUAGAUCAACUUCCGGCUAUAGGAUGGUUCUGUGUUUUGUUCUGGACUGAUCGAACUCUAGUAAUUAGACUGGAUUAUGAAAUCAGAAUCAAAUUUAUUCUCGCUAUAUAUGCAGGUGCGCAUGCAACAACCACUAUUAUGAGAGCACUAGUGUGUGGAGACCAGUGCGCAAGUAAGAGGAAGUAGAGAUACCACGGAAGUAUGAUAUUUCCUUUACGAAGAAUCACAAGAUUUCAAUACUUCGAAAAUGGAUAUGUUUUUAACACUAUUGCAUUGUUCGUUCUUGCUUUCCUUUUGUCUAGCUGUACUAUCAAGAAAAUAACUAUUUAACGAGGAACAAAUUUUAAUCAACUGGAUGUUGCAUUAGACAGUUCUCGUAAUAGUCAUUUGCACAGUGGAAAGAGUCAAGCAAAGUUGUUUGCGAACAGCAUGUUAAUUGUAAACGGCCCUGUCGCAUCACAGCAAAAAUCGUCAGACUCAUGGAUUUUACAGUUCUAGAAAAACAUUUCGGUUGGAUGUUUUCACUGGGGAGUGUGAAAGAAGUGAUUAUACGAAGUCAAGAGAUGUCAAAAUAUAAAAUUUUUGUGGCAAUUGUGAGUUUGUCUAAGAAUAAGUCAUACAAAUGGAGCAUUUCUUCUGUCGACCUGUAUUUGACUGGGAAGAACUAAAGUUAGAUCAAGUUAUUCCAACCUUUGCUCAAUGAACUAAUGAUGUUAAACAAUCAAGCAGUUGAGAAUUAAUAAAUUUAUGGUACAUCAUGAGUGAUUCUUCAAGCUCAGUCUCCUGUGAGGCACAUGUACCAUUUUCAUGCAAAGCUCCCUGGAAGGCGUAUUGACUGUGCAUGCAUGCAUGCACAUAUCGAACUCUAUGCACACAGACGCAAUGCAUUGAAGAUAAAUGUUUAUUAGAUGCGAUGCAUUGAAGAUGAAUGUUUAUUAAAAUUCACAUGAUUUCUGCCUUGUAAAGGUACAGACAGUGGAGGUGCAGAAAAAGCUGUCGGAUACAGCUUGACAAAGCUGCAGCCCCCUUUCUCUUGGCAGCGGCUUCACAGAAAGACUUUUAAAACAAAGGUAAUUGCACGGUGUAAUAACAGUUAUACAGUAAUGAGCAAGAACAAAAGAAAACAAACAAGAUUAUAGAAUAUUUUGACAAUAUUCACAUAAAGGAAAACAGAACCUACAUAGUAACAUACAUAGCACCCAAAGUACUGUUUGAUGCAUUGAAGAGGUCAAAAUUAUUAUAUACAUAAGCUAUAUACAUAUUCGCAUAGAGCUACCAAUCCCUGCAAUAUCUAGACAGCAGAUUUUCAUUACAUAUGCACGCACGCACACAACACACACACCAAGAAGGAAACAGCGGCGCGCUCAUAGGCAGUGCCUGAAAAAAAAAAGAUGAAAAAAGGAAAAGUGUGGAGAACCGCGGUCAUCUCGCGCUGUUGCAUCUCCCUCUCCCAGAAGGAAUAAAAAGUUCUUGGAAAGCAGGGACGGGCGAUUCCCUCCAUCAGCAUCAGCUCCCACCAGCGAGGACAGGGCGAGAAAGCGAAGCGGGGCUUUCUUUGCUAUCUAUUUUUUCUUCGUCAGGCGCAACGCCGCCUGCUCGCAGGGAUGCAGGCAGGGCGGCCGGGGGACCAGUCCCUGCCAAAUGCUAGCUCUGGACGCCAGCUCGUUUUGCGUCUCCAUAGCUUACUAGACUAGCUGGCGCAUUUCUGUUAUCAUUGACUGUGCAUAUAAACGCAAACUACACAAAUUAACAUGGGCAAGAAGAACGCAAGCCCUUUCCAUGGAGUGGAGCUGCCGUGUCUCGCCGUGCAAAAUAUGCAUACUCGUAAGUGGCAUUUUAAUUUCACGUUGUGUAGUGCGUGUCCGCCUUUGUCAAGUGAACAAACGUCGCUUUGUAUUGUGGAAGUGGUUUUGCGACGUAGGAACUCCCUGUUUUCUGUGUUUGUUUUUUCUGACAGGAAGAAAGAAAUAAGAGCUUUAUAUGAGAACGGAUCAAUCGUUCGAGAGUUGGAACAAGGAAAUGUGAGACGUACUUUCAGGUACAUAUUUUUUAUAUAAAUUUUUUGUCUUGUAAGCGUGAUGCAUUUUUCUUUAUUUUUUUCUAGGAAGCACUGGAACGACACUACUUAAGUUGAAGCAUAGUGUGCGAAUAACCUGCUACGCUCCGAACUGUUAUCACCAUUCGGGAAGAAAUCAGAUGGAAAAACAAAACUGUAAAUACCCAGUACUGUACAAUAUACAUUUGGUGCAUUGCAGUUUCUAUGAGCACUGUAACUACCCAAACUUCGCUCUCGACCGGGACAGAGAAAUGCCAGAUACUGUACCGUUCAGAGCCAAGAGUAUGGAAACGGCUGAAGAAGAGCCUCCCGGGCAGUAUGGGAAAGUCUCACAGCGGACUAGCACUGUCCUUUAGUAAUCAUACUAUUUCAGGGAACAAAGACUACUUGCAAAUUGUUAAGACUGCUGCACGAAAAAAUUAAUGUAUUUUAUGGUUGCAAAAUAAAACACCUCAAAAGAGGAAACAUUGCC